rnacentral:rRNA from 1 species
UACGUAGGGGGCUAGCGUUGUCCGGAUUUAUUGGGCGUAAAGAGCGUGUAGGCGGCCAAGUAGGUCCGGUGUGAAAACUCGAGGCUUAACCUCGAGAUGUCAUCGGAAACCAUUUGGCUAGAGUCCGGAAGAGGAAAGUGGAAUUCCUGGUGUAGCAGUGAAAUGCGUAGAUAUGCGGAGGAACACCGAUGGCGAAGGCAAUCCCCUGGACCUGUACUGACGCUCAUGCACGAAAGCGUGGGGAGCAAACAGG